rnacentral:lncRNA from 1 species
CCCUGAGCCGGCUCCUUCUCCCUAAGCUCCACAGUAAUUAGACAAAGAAAACCUAAAUUAGCUGAACAGGCGUCGACAGCUUCCUCCAGAGCACCCCUGGUACCUACAUGGGAAUGUGUCCGAAAAUGGCUUGAUUGUAGCCGAGAGUCAGCUAAGAAAACACCGCCAAACCGAACUCAGUUUACCACUCAUUUCCAAUAGAAAAAAGAAACAAGUCGCUCUUUUCCGGGUGGGAUGUUUUGAUUGGGUUGGGGUAGGGCUUCGCAGUUGUUUCCACUUUCUAAGAAUUUCUGACUGACUGCUGAGCGUUUUUGGGGGGUGCGUCCCCAUAUAUUUCAUGGUAUUUUUUUCUCUUGCCCUCAUUUGUCAUUUUGUGUGGAAUAACUUAAAAAUACAUAACUAAAUAUGAAAGUAAAUAUAAUGUGUUCACUAAACCAAUGCUCUAAGUGCCUAAAAUAUAAUUAUUUUCAUAAAAUAGAAGCUGGAGUGGGGAGGACAGAUAGGAUCUUAAAGGAGCUCUACUGACAUAGAGUUCAGUGUGUGUGUGUGUGUGUGUGUGUGUGUGUGUGUGCUUUAAAUGGAAAGAGCCCAGGGGAGAAGCUUGUGGGGGAAAAGGACAAUUAUCUCAUUUGUAGGUGGGGGCGGUGGGCAACGGGCUUUGGAAACAUUCAGUACUCAUUGUCACUUAGCCAUGGACUCUCUCUGAUUCUCUGUGCCUGAAAAUUAUAUGUAUUUGGAUCUCAGGGAAUACAGAUCCAACUUGUUAAGAGCAGGCCUUAAAAGGUUUUAGGACCCGGAGACUGAAGAAUAAAAGGCGCUAACCUUAAAAUCCAGGCAGGACCAGUGAUAACCUUCUAUACUAGUAGCUCCCAGUUUUGGGGUUAUGGGGUCAUCCUCUGAGAAUACGAUGGAAGCUAUGGAGCCAGUUUCCAGAAAAAUACUUCCAACUUGCCUGAGAUUUUAGGAAGUCCACAGGUACUCAUUAAAACAAACAAGGAAACAAGCAAAAAACCCCAGAUUCUUUUAGCUUCUACCAAUUCAGCUGGUUAAAUUAUGAGGGAUUUUUUUAAAAGGCUCCUUUCUCCAUCCAAGCAACAGCAGUAUCCAUUUUACCUAAACUCUAAACUUGCAAGAAAUCCCACUUAGAGUGUGGUGAGUGUUAUGAGGGCCGGCCAGGUCGUGGGAAGGCAGUGGACAUUGGAGAGCAGUUAGGGCCAGGAGGCGGUCAGCUGACUGGAAGCCUUCCCUCUCUGUAGGGGUCUGCAUACUGCCCCUGUAGACCCUGAACUCCAGAAAGAUAAGCAGCUUGGGGGCCUUCUUAAGUUAUAUCAGCAGGAAGGCUCCUCUCCAAAACUCUUUCUUGGAUACCCCACUUCUGCUUCUGGAAACUAUUCUCAUGGCAUAGACCACCACCACGUCUACAGUGACUAAACCCUGCAUCUGUUUGUUACAGACCUCGCAGGUACCAUCUUGUCACCCACCAAGUGGCCCAGGUAUCAUCAUCCUCCUUUUGAGGUGAGGAAACUAAGGCUCAGAGACUGGGUGACUGGCUACAAGUCACGCUGGGGCAAGUGACAAAGCUGGCCAGCAGCCUGGGCCUGGAACUCCAAAGUCAGUGUUCCUUCCACUGCAUUACAGCAAAGCCUCUCUGAGCUUUGUUUUAAUCACUGAUAUAUACAAAUCUCUUGAGUAAGAAUGUAUGUGAUAGCAAAUUAUGUCAAUUUCUGUAUCCCUGGGAGGAAUACCUUAAUUUCUGGUUAGCAGACAGGGUUUAAAAGGAAAGCUGUGUUUGUCUCUGAAACAGAGCCUUGCUUAGGAUGGCUCCCCCACCCCCCUACUGGGGUUCCUUCUUAUGGGGGUGAGCUCUUCACUCACUUUCACUCCCUAUAAAUAACAUGAAUCUUGACAUUUUUUUUCUUACGGGAAGGGAAGGUAUGGUUCAUAUAAAUGAGUCUAGAUCAGCCCAGGCAGUCCUUGGUUAACCAAAACUAUGCAGCCUC